rnacentral:lncRNA from 13 species
AUGGCCCCAGAGGUGUGUCCAGACCUCAGCCACAGCUGGGCACGAUGCCCACAGUCACCCAUCUCUCCCCCCAGCCUGUGCUGCUCCUGGGACCUGCCCCAGGGGGAACUGAGACUCUCAGGACCACAAAACCCUUGGAGCUGGGGCUCUACCGCACCCAUAAGCCACUGGCUACCCCGGGGACUCCCCUCUGCUCUUCUGGGUACACAGCCAUUGUCAGGAGCCACAUUCAGCCACCAAACCACGGCCGGAGGGCCAGGCACCGCUGUCCUCAGCCCACAGAGCCUGUUUGGGCAGAGGCAGGAGCACAUCUGCUCCUCCAUGUCCCAGCCGGUGCAUUUUGGACAGAGCACACGCAGUGCCCUGCCAAACCACAUCUGCCCAGUCCUUGAGUGUCCCCGGAGCCCUCACGGCACUUCAGCAUCAUCCCUGGCCUGGCUGAACGGGUUGGAGCUGGGCGCUAAGGGGCCCAGAGCCCGGCUACCAAGCGGGGCUGGACAACGGCACCGCUGGUGUCACCUCCCUCGUCUCGAGCACAGUCCCCAGCCCUGGGGAGGGGCGAGUGGGCUCCGUGGGGACGCUCUCCCAGCACCUCAACCAUUGCCAGUGGGAGCAGAGUCUGGGGUGUCAGCACGCAGGGAAGGAAGGGACGGCCUGGCUGGCAGGGCAGGGUGUGGGCAGCGUGUGGGGUGCAGGUGGGGGGCAGAUGUGAUGCAGGCAGAGUUUAGCAGGGUGCAGGCAGCGUGUAGGGUGCAGGCUGGGCUGGGGAGGAGCCGGUGGGGUGCUGGCAAGGUGCAGGCAGGGCUGAAUGAGGUGCAGGUGUGGGGUGCAGGCAUGAGAGAUGGGUGGGGUGCAGGCAGGGCGCAGGUGGGGUCGGAUGGGGUGCUGGCAGAGAGCGGUGGGGUGCAGGCGGGAUACAGGCGGGGUGCAGGCGGGAUACAGGCGGGGUGCAGGCAGGAUACAGGCAGGACAGCCCCGCUCCCCGCUCCCCGGCCGUGCCAUUACGUUGCCACAAUUGAAUCCGCAGCGACUGCUCGGGAACGACCAGAGGUCACUGUCCAAAUAUAG